GGGAGGAUGGCCGAGCGGUCUAAGGCGUAGCACCGGAAAUGCUAUGUGGAUGUGUCUACCGAGGGUUCGAAUCCCUCUCCUUCCU
rnacentral:tRNA from 1 species